rnacentral:rRNA from 1 species
AUUGAACGCUGGCGGCAGGCCUAACACAUGCAAGUCGCACGAGUGGCGGACGGGUGAGUAAUGUCUGGGAAACUGCCUGAUGGAGGGGGAUAACUACUGGAAACGGUAGCUAAUACCGCAUACCAUCAGAUGUGCCCAUAUGGGAUUCGCUAGUUGGUGGGGUAACGGCUCACCAAGGCGACGAUCCCUAGCUGGUCUGAGAGGAUGACCAUCCACACUGGAACUGAGACACGGCCCAGACUCCUACGGGAGUCAGCAGUGGGUAUGAUUGAACAAUGGGCGCAAGUCUGAUGCAGCCAUGCCGCGUGUAUGAAGAAGGCCUUCGGGUUUUAAAGUACUUUCAGCGGGGAGGCGUUACCCGCAGAAGAAGCACCGGCUAACUCCGUGCCAGCAGCCGCGGUAAUAC